rnacentral:tRNA from 1 species
GGGGUUGUGGCUCAGUGGUAGCGUGCUUGCCUGGCAUGCAUGAGGCACUGGGUUCAAUCCUCAGCACCA